CUCAGUUCGGAUCGGAGUCUGCAACUCGACUCCGUGAAGCUGGAUUCGCUAGUAAUCGCGCAUCAGCCAUGGCGCGGUGAAUACGUUCCCGGGCCUUGUACACACCGCCCGUCAAGCCAUGGGAGCCGGGGGUACCUGAAGUCCGUAACCGCGAGGAUCGGCCUAGGGUAAAACUGGUGACUGGGGCUAAGUCGUAACAAGGUAGC
rnacentral:rRNA from 1 species